rnacentral:lncRNA from 1 species
AAAACCAAGUACCAAUUAACCAUUCCCAUGAAACCAUAUGUUCAAACCACCAUUAAAAUAUGAGAAACCAUAAUUAGGACAUGGGGAAACCAUAACCAACCAUUACAACCAAAACCCCCAAUAUCUAUUUCAAAACCCCCGAACCAUACCACACUAGUUAUCAUACGACCAAGACCAACCAAACCAUACCCUAUCAUACAAUUAGUACCCCCU